AGUUCUCCACUGGAAGGUGUGUGAAGCCAGGGGAACUUAGGGAUUUACGUGUGGAAAGCGCCAAGGUAGGAGAUCGGAAUCCACCACACCAAGAUCAAAGGAUACCUCCAGGUAAGUUCAAAGUGCAGAAUUUAUUCAAAAAAAGUGUAAUUAAAGAAAAAAGGAAAAUAAAGAAUUAAAAAAUACAAUGCAAAUUAAAGGACUAUAAUGCAAAUUAGCAUUGAACAGCAGUCCUACAAAUAAAUACUGUGCCUAGGCUUCAGGACAGUACUUCACUGAGCUUACUAACUCUUCAGCAGUCAGUUACACAAUGAGAAAAAAAAGGCUCCCCCACUCUAACUUACUGCCCCUUUAAAUACUGGAAGCCCCGCCCCGGGCUAAACCAAAUCUCAGCAGGUGGGUUAAAACAUCCUAAUUAAAUGCAUACAAACAUUAACAUUUUCUACAAUGUGCACAUAUUCUCACACAGGUUUAAAAUGGCCAUUUCAUCACAACAUCUACCGGUAAGUAUUCCUUUUAAUUAACUUAGUCUUUUUCUUUUUCAGGUUCUUCACUCCAGCUCCCCUCUCUCCUGCACUGCCAUGGGCCCUUCUGGCUAGUACAAGAAGAGGAACUGUAAUGGCUGCCAGUCCUUUGGAACCCCCUUCUCAGCUUGUUUGAUGGGAUGUCUGUGCUGCCGUGCCUUCACGUUUCUACACCACUGCCACCAUCUGUAAAAGUUCUCCACUGGAAGGUGUGUGAAGCCAGGGGAACUUAGGGAUUUACGUGUGGAAAGCGCCAAGGUAGGAGAUCGGAAUCCACCACACCAAGAUCAAAGGAUACCUCCAGGUUCUUCACUCCAGCUCCCCUCUCUCCUGCACUGCCAUGGGCCCUUCUGGCUAGUACAAGAAGAGGAACUGUAAUGGCUGCCAGUCCUUUGGAACCCCCUUCUCAGGUAAGUAUCUCCCUGUGUUUGUUAAAACAAUUGUCUUUACAGAAUAUUAAAACUCUGGCAACAGCUUUGGUGAUGAGGGAGACUUCUUACCUCAUCACAGUC